rnacentral:rRNA from 1 species
CUGAAGUAUGGUUACCAUAAUUCUUGAUUCAGCAUUCAUAAUUCUUUCUUGUGCGCUUGCGCGCAGAGUGGGGGGAGGAAGGCGAGGAUGACGCCAGAUCAGCAUGGCCCUCUGAUACCCUGGGCUACACACGCAAUACAAUGGCUACUACAACACGUCUGCGACGGGGUAACCCUGAGCUAAUCGUUAUAAAAGUAGCCCCAGUUCAGAUUGAGGUCUGCAACUCGACCUCAUGAAGUUGGAAUCGCUAGUAAUCGCGGGUCAGCAAACCGCGGUGAAUACGUUCUCAAGUCUUGUACUCACCGCCCGUCAAGCCAAGGGAGCCGGGGAUACCCGAAAUUUCGCUUUAUGCGGACCUAAGGUAAAUUCGGUGACAGGGGCUAAGUCGUAACAAGGCACGGGUAGCGGAAGCUGCUCGUGGAACAUUUCAAAA